rnacentral:rRNA from 1 species
UACGAAGGGUGCUAGCGUUGUUCGGAAUUACUGGGCGUAAAGCGCGCGUAGGCGGCUUAUCAAGUCAGGGGUGAAAUCCCGGGGCUCAACCCCGGAAUUGCCUUUGAAACUGGUAAGCUUGAGUGUCGGAGGGGAUAGCGGAAUUGCUAAUGUAGAGGUGAAAUUCGUAGAUAUCAACUGGAACGCCGAAGGUGAAGACAAGCGACUGGGCCGAUUCUGACGCUGAGGCACGAAAGCGUGGGGAGCAAACGGG